UCAAGGCCCGCCGACGGCGCCGCUGGAAGCGGUUUCGGCCUGCACCGGGUUAUUCGGGUCCGGAGCAUAUCCAGGUUACCCGGGUCAAGUUUUGGUUGACAAGGUCACCGGAGCCAGUUUCAAUGCCCAUGGCGUUAAUGGACGGAAGUUUCUUCUUCCGGCGAUGUGGGACCCUCAGACGUCUACGUGUAAGACGUUGGUGUGACGUGGCUGACGAGGGCAACACGUGGAAGUGAAGGCUUUUUCUGUGUUCCUCUUUUUCCCUUGUAGAUAUAUAAUAUGAUGAGUAGAAAUGUGAUCCACGAAAAUGGGUUUGGUCGACGUAUGGUUGGG
rnacentral:misc_RNA from 1 species